AAGGGUUAAAUGUUAAUAAUAGACGAGAAGACCCUAUAGAUCUUUAUUUAAUUAAGAUUUUAAUAAUUUAGGAUUAUUUUAAUUUAAAAUUUUAAUUAAAUUUUAUUGGGGUAAUAUAAAGAUUUAAUUAAUUCUUUUUAUUAAUUACAUUAAUUUAUGAAUAAAUGAUCCAAUACUAUUGAUUAUAAGAUUAAGUUACCUUAGGGAUAACACCGCAAUUUUUUUGGAGAGCUCAUAUCGAUAAAAAAGU
rnacentral:rRNA from 1 species